ensembl:lncRNA
GAGAAAUCAGGAAGGGGACUGACAGCUCCUGUUUCAAUAAGGUGAUGCCCCUUGGAACGCUCUUGGCAGUUGGCUUCAUUUACAGUGACGUCUAGUCUUUUCAACAUGGUUUUCAUCUUUACUGCUCCGAGGCAUGUCUUCCUUCUGUAAAGCCUUCCAUCUUUAAUCCACCAAAGUGGGGAAAACGUGAUGUUGAAAUACAGUUGAAGCAAAGCAGCAGCUGAACCUCUGCAUUUGUUCUGCACUGAUGGGUGAGGGGCUGCUCUGUGUAGUCAUUCAGGAUCAGGAAUUGCCAUUGUUCGCUUGCUUUCUGAGGAGAGAAUUACUUCUUCAAAGGGAUGCUCAGUGCCCAGAAGAGGAGGAGGACAGUCUCUGGGAGAGACAUUUUACUGCUGCUGCAGUUCAAGAUGGAAUGGCAGCAAGCAGACUGCUUGCUGCAGUAGAAGUCCUGCAUAAACCUCUGAGGCAGCUCAGAACACCAUGUGCAAGAAUCCAGGUGCCCAUCUGUAACCCUCGACACCUACAUGUUUUAAAAGCAUGACUCAAGUGUCUUCUGGGAGGAGGAUUUAGGCCCUUGGUCACUGCUGUAUACCCUGAACUUUGCAGUGCUCUGGCUUGGUGCAGGGAUGAGCAAUCACAUGCGCUCUGUAAUGAACUGUUGCUCUUUGGUAAUAUUUCUUCAGGUUAAGCAUGACAAUCUCUCAUCAUUGGUGUAUAUGAUGUGAAGAGCCUCUUUCUCCAUCAUUUCAGAUUAUCUUGUUAGUGGGAUGUAUGUUACAUCAAUUUUGUGUGCCUAAUAAUUUCUACAUUGGAGAAGGUGACUGCUUACAGACAUUUGCUAUCCAAUUUAACUGCAUUCUUAUUUAACGUUGUUGAUGUCUCAGGUGACUGCUCCAUGGGAGCAUAGGAGAUGUUUCACCUCUUUGUCUAUGUGUGUUUACUGCUUGUACUGCUGAAAAUCCCAUUCAGACUGGUGAUUAAAGGAGUCCAACUAAAUGUCAUCUAAAG